UUCUCGUUGAAUCCGCUGGUGGUUGCGGAUUCAAGGCGAACUAUGUUAUCGUUGGUUGUGCACCCACUUCUGAAGCCUGUUUGGAAAUUUGAGGCAUGAGGAUUUGUAUCUCAACGGCAGUUUUCCAGUCGGUAGUUAUCCCGAUGGCUUCCAUUUCUCCGGGGGCUGGUAUAGGGUCAGAGGAGUGGCCUGUUUGUUCUUUUUAAUUAGGAUGGUGACACCUCCACCUUGAUUUUGGCGGUUCAGGAUUCCUCAGGAUAGACAAAGUUCCAUCAUAUUCUGCAGAGUAAUGGUCGUGGGAUAAAUUGUUUAACAAGGAAUAUUUCGUGGGCUACUACUACUUCCCGCGGGAGAGAUGAUGUGCUGAAGAA